UGUGUGUUUCAUUUCGUUG
rnacentral:miRNA from 1 species